rnacentral:tRNA from 1 species
GAGGGGAUAACUCAGAGGUAGAGUGCCUGCCUAGCAUGCACAAGGUCAUGGAUUCAAUCCCCAAUCCCUCCA